rnacentral:rRNA from 1 species
UCUACGUCGAGCGAUGGAUUAAAAGCUUGCUCUUAUGAAGUUAGCGGGGGACGGGUGAGUAACACGUGGGUAACCUGCCCAUAAAACUGGGAUAACUCCGGGAAACCGGGGCUAAUACCGGAUAACAUUUUGAACCGCAUGGGUCGAAAUUGAAAGGCGGCUUCGGCUGUCACUUAUGGAUGGACCCGCGUCGCAUUAGCUAGUUGGUGAGGUAACGGCUCACCAAGGCAACGAUGCGUAGCCGACCUGAAGGGUGAUCGGCCACACUGGGACUGAACACGGCCCAGACUCCUACGGGAGGCAGCAUAGGGAAUCUUCCGCAAUGGACGAAAGUCUGACGGACAACGCCGCGUGAGUGAUGAAGGCUUUCGGGUCUUAAAACUCUGUUGUUAGGGAAUAACAAGUGCUAUUGAAUAAGCUGGCACCUUGACGGUACCUAACCAAAAGCCACGGCUAACUACGUGCCAGCAGCCGCGGUAAUACUAGGUGGCAAGCGUUAUCCGGAAUUAUUGGGCGUAAAGCGCGCGCAGGUGGUUUCUUAAGUCUGAUGUGAAAGCCCACGGUCACCGUGGAGGGCAUUGAAACUGGGAGACUUGAGUGCAGAAGAGGAAGUGGAAUUCCAUGUGUAGCGGUGAAAUGCGUAGAGAUAUGGAGGAACACCAGUGGCAAGCGACUUUCUGGUCUGUAACUGACACUGAGGCGCGAAAGCGUGGGGACAAACAGGAUUAAUACCCUGGAUCCACGCCGUAAACAUGAGUGCUAAGUGUUAGAGGGUUUCCGCCCUUUAGUGCUGAAUUAACCAUUAAGCACUCCGCCGGGGAGUACGCCGCAAGGCUGAAACUCAGGAAGCGGGGGCCCCGCACAUGCGGUGUAGCUGUGGUUAUUCGAAGCAACAAACCUUUACCCAGUCUUCAUCCUCA